rnacentral:tRNA from 1 species
CGGCUCGCCGGGCGGGUGCCCGGCCCCGACCCGGCGCCGGUCGACGACGGGCCGCCCGGCCUGUUCGACACCGGUCCCGCCCGCGACGAGCUGGCC